rnacentral:lncRNA from 1 species
CUUUACUGAACAUGUACGUGCCUAGGAAGUCUCAGGAAUGGGUAAGUGCUCCUGCUCCCACACAGUCUACAGACCUGGGUGCAAUGGUGAGAAAGACCUCAGUAAAGCAAAGGAAUUACGAAAGGGAGAGGAUAGAAGAUAAAGUACAUAAUAGUUUCCUGAAGCAGCAGAAUGAAAGAACUCUCUGUGGCAUGAAAAUUUACUGGAGGCAGCAGCUGAGGCUGUGGUGGGAGAAGAAUGACAAGAACUGAGCGUGGGCCACGGGCUCUUACCUUCAGCAACUUCAUCAGCUCUUCCAGCUGGACCAUCAGCUCCCGCCUGCUCUCCUGCAGGGCCGACAUCCUCUGCUCCAGUUCAUCCUUCCUUUGCCUAUCCAAGACGAGAAGCCUAUCAGAUAAAGAGACCCUCAAAGAUGGAUCUAAGGCCAGGUGAAAUGGAUUUCAGACCUGAUCCUGCUACUUACCAGUUAUGAGACGCUGAGCAAGUCAUUUAGCAUCCAAUACCUCAUAAAAUGGUGAUAAUGUCUGUUUUGCCUACUUCCUGGACUGUUCUGAGAAUAAUAGGUAAAAGUGCUUUGGAAAGUUUAGAUGACUAUAUAAAGGUAUUACUUAUAUUACCAGAGUGAAUUAAUGAUUAAAAAACUCUUUAGAAAAUCAAUGCCUUUUGAAAAAUAUAUAAAAUUAGCCCAAAUUUAGAUUAAUAGUAAAGAAACCAUAUUAAACUGCUCAGAGAAAACAGGGUCCAGUAGUAAGUACUUUCAGCACUAGACAGAUUCAAGAAGGAUGACAGAUCAGGACGGCUCCCUGUGUUCAAGAACAGUCACUUUUCCUUGAGGAUAGAUUUUAUGCCAUCUACUCCAGCUCAAUAUGUCCAAAACCAGACUUAAGACUUUAUUCCCUAAAUGGUUUUCUUGUCUCUGUCUCUUUUUUUUUCCUUGUCUCUGUCUCUUUUCCCUGUCUCUGCUAUUUUUCCUUCCAGGUGUCAUGGUUGAAAAACUCAGUCCUCUUUGUUACUUUCUUCUUUAUAUCCUGUAUUCAAUCAAUAACUCAAUUCAGAUCAUUCUUUCUUGGAAAAUGUAUGUGCCUAUCUUUCUAUUCCCAUUUCUCUCACUUUAUCUAAGCACUCCUUACCUCAAGCAUGAAACAGUCUCCUUAUGUGAUUAAUCCUGCUUUCUUUUUUUUUUUUUUUGUGACGGAGUCUCACUCUGUCGCCCAGGCUGGAGUGCAGUGGUGCCAUCUUGUCUCAACUGCAACCUCCGCUUCCCCAGUUCAAGUGAUUCUCCUGCCUCAGCCUCCUAAAUAGCUGGGAUUACAGGCAUCGCCACCAUGCCCAGUUAAUUUUUGUAUUUUUAGUAGAGAUGGAGUUUCACCAUGUUGGCCAGGCUGGUCUCGAACUCCUGACCUCAAGUGAUCCACCUGCCUCAGCCUCCCAAAGUGCUGGGAUUACAGUCGUGAGCCACCGCACCUGGCUCUUUCAUCUUUUAUGGUGAGGAAAAAGCAGUGAAAUAGAAGUCAAUGGCCUCAAAGUUGAGUAUCAGCACCAGUAUUUACCAAAUAUGCAACCUUAGACAAGUCACUUAGCCUCAGUUUUCUCUCUUCUAAAAGGGGACUAGUAACAGCAACAAUAUUCUGAGGAUCAUAUAAGGUAAUAAAUAUGAGAGUGUUCUACGAACUUUAAACUGCCGCUCAAAACAAAGCUAUGUUCAUUUCAUCAUCCCAUAAUGAUCUCAACAGACUUUCUAGCAUCACUGACCCUUGCCUGUGCAAUCGAGACCUACGCUGUCUAUCACAGCAGCCGCUAGCCACGCGUGACUACCGAGCCCCUGAAACAGGGCUAGGCUGAACUGAGAUGCACGGCAAUUGUAACAUACACACUGGAAUUCAAAGACUUAGUGCAGGAAACAGCAAAGUAUCUGGAUCAUGUUUUAAUACUGAUUACAUGUUGAAAGGACAAUAUUUUGAAAAUAUCAGGUUAAGUAAGAUAUACUAUUAAAAUUAAUGACGCCUAUUACUUUUUGGUUUUUCAAUGAGGCUGUUAGAAAUGUUUUGAUUAUGUGCGUGGCCUGCAUUUCUAUCGGCGAGUGCGGCUCUAGAUCCCAUCUACAUUCCUGUCCUUAGUACCACACCUCCUAUCUUAUGCCCUUUGUGUCUGGACCUCCAGCUUACGGUUCAUUUUUCCUAAGUGGGCUCCAUCAUUUUAUAACUCACCUCUCUUCCAAAUCUUAUUCAUUCCGUAAUGUCUGACCCAACAUCACUGUCGGGAAGCUGCUCCUGAUCACUUCAGCAGGGACUGCUUGAUUAAGCACUACAGUAAUUAGUGCUCCUCAGUGGUACUUAAUUUACUUUACUGCUGCCAUUCCUACCAUGAUGCAAAAUCCUUGAGGUCAGGGGAUGGGCCUUACUCAUCCUUGCAUGUAUUGAAGGAUUAAGAAAAUAUCAUGCAUCCAGUAUCACCUAAUUAACAUCUACUGAACUUACCAAAAUCAUGAUUUGAAACUCUCCAAGGGUUUCCAAUGACCUAACAAUUAAGACUUUCUAGAAUCUGAUCUCAAUUGCCUGGCUAAUUAUAUCUCCUAUCACUGGCACUCUGAAGAUUGAUGUAAUGAAUGAUUGAAAAGAAAUUCUUAGUUCCAAGACUCUUUCCCUUUUCUGAAAUGUGCCAUAAUUAUUUGGGGGGAAUCAUGCUGAACCCCAAGUGCACUUCCAAUCUGAAAUGUUUUGUCCUACACUCCAUCCAAAUCAUUAUCUACUUUUCAUGGUCUAGCUCAACUUCUACCACCUCCAUGGUUCCAAAUGCUUCCAGAGGAAAAUUAGACACACAAAGGUGGUAGGGAAUAAAUAUAGAUAUAAUACCUAUAUUAUAUAGGUAUUAUAUAUGUAAAAUCUUGUGUGUAUACAUACAUUAUAUUAUAUAUAUUUCCCUACACAGAUUUCUUAUCCAUACUGUUUAUUGACAUUGCACAAUAUUUUUUAACUAUCAAAUUAUUUUAUGUUUUGUUCCAAAACCAGAUUAUAAGUUUUUAGGAAGGACUCAUUGUCUUCUAGUCUUCAUACUCUCUACAUUUCCAGUGCAGUAGACCCUCGAUAAGAAGGAUCUACUCAUUCAAUGUUCUAGGAAGACUUCUUCCUCUGAACUCCUGAGCCUGGGUGUGAUAUUCUUUAUCUGUACUGUGUGUGACCAAACAAUUACGGUAUAAGCUGAACAUGAAUGAGCUACAGCUACAUCCAACCACAGAGAACGAUCCUAAAGGCUAAUAUGGUGGGGGUAGGGGGUGGAGAGGGAAGUCCUCUGGGACUAUCCCCACCAUAUUAGUAUAAUAUUUCUAUUAAGCUUAGAAAACAAAAAGCAAAACUAAACAGCUUAUUACAUAGGAUAGUGAUAAUGCGACAAUAUUGUUUUAAACACAAGGUAAUGAUAAACCAAAUUCUGGAUAGGCGUUCACCCAGUGGGGAAGGUGGAGGCAAGGAAAUGGGGUAAGGGAGAGGUACUUCUAUGGAUGGCAUUGUUUUAGUCAUAUUAUGAGUUCUCAAAUAGGAUGUGGGUUUAUAAGUAUUCAUUUGACUAUUACGCUUCAUAUACGUUUGUCGCACACACAUUCGUCAUACAUUUUAUUGUAAGCAACGUACCAUUAAAAAUAAUAAUAAAGGAAGAAAAGGCA